rnacentral:miRNA from 1 species
CGGGAGAAGUUAUAGCGCUGUAUG